rnacentral:rRNA from 1 species
GAUGAACGCUGGCGGCGUGCCUAAUACAUGCAAGUCGAGCGAACAGACGAGGAGCUUGCUCCUCUGACGUUAGCGGCGGACGGGUGAGUAACACGUGGAUAACCUACCUAUAAGACUGGGAUAACUUCGGGAAACCGGAGCUAAUACCGGAUAAUAUAUUGAACCGCAUGGUUCAAUAGUGAAAGCCGGUUUUGCUGUCACUUAUAGAUGGAUCCGCGCCGCAUUAGCUAGUUGGUAAGGGAACGGCUUACCAAGGCAACGAUGCGUAGCCGACCUGAGAGGGUGAUCGGCCACACUGGAACUGAGACACGGUCCAGACUCCUACGGGAGGCAGCAGUAGGGAAUCUUCCGCAAUGGGCGAAAGCCUGACGGAGCAACGCCGCGUGAGUGAUGAAGGUCUUCGGAUCGUAAAACUCUGUUAUUAGGGAAGAACAAAUGUGUAAGUAACUAUGCACGUCUUGACGGUACCUAAUCAGAAAGCCACGGCUAACUACGUG